UCGAACGAUGAAGCUCCUGCUUGCAGGGGUGGAUUAGUGGCGAACGGGUGAGUAACACGUGAGUAACCUGCCCCUGACUGUGGGAUAAGCCCGGGAAACUGGGUCUAAUACCGCAUAUGACAUCUGGCCGCAUGGUCUGGAUGUGGAAAGUUUUUCGGUUGGGGAUGGGCUCGCGGCCUAUCAGCUUGUUGGUGGGGUAAUGGCCUACCAAGGCGACGACGGGUAGCCGGCCUGAGAGGGCGACCGGCCACACUGGGACUGAGACACGGCCCAGACUCCUACGGGAGGCAGCAGUGGGGAAUAUUGCACAAUGGGGGAAACCCUGAUGCAGCGACGCCGCGUGAGGGAUGACGGCCUUCGGGUUGUAAACCUCUUUCAGUAGGGAAGAAGCCUUCGGGUGACGGUACCUGCAGAAGAAGUACCGGCUAACUACGUGCCAGCAGCCGCGGUAAUACGUAGGGUACAAGCGUUGUCCGGAAUUAUUGGGCGUAAAGAGCUCGUAGGCGGUUCGUCGCGUCUGCUGUGGAAACGCAAGGCUCAACCUUGCGCGUGCAGUGGGUACGGGCGGACUAGAGUGCAGUAGGGGAGUCUGGAAUUCCUGGUGUAGCGGUGAAAUGCGCAGAUAUCAGGAGGAACACCGGUGGCGAAGGCGGGACUCUGGGCUGUAACUGACGCUGAGGAGCGAAAGCAUGGGGAGCGAACAGGAUUAGAUACCCUGGUAGUCCAUGCCGUAAACGUUGGGCACUAGGUGUGGGG
rnacentral:rRNA from 1 species